GUCUGCAGAUCCAAAUCCCACUCCCGUCGCACUUGCCCACUGUCCCCGGGUCGCACACUUCUAGACGUAGCACAAGCGCUGUUGCCGACACCGCGUUGAUAUUCGGCGAGCCGCGCAUUGCGAAAUCGAAACCCCGGGAUGCACAUACUCGCGGAGAUUUGUGAUGUGCAGUGGCGGUGCUUUUCUCUUUUGUUUGUUUGUUUGUUUGUUUGUGUUUAUUUCUUUCUCUGCUGAUCACGAGCCACAUUCCGGCGGCAGCAUGUACGCCUCAAUCGAUGCCAGUGACGAGUGUCGCCGAAGGAUCGCAGGAGUCCUUUCGGCGUUGUUGAUAAAACCAGGAAGAAUUGUAGUGUGCGACAAUGCGGAAUAGAGAUUCGGGUGUUGGAAUUGGCCUCCACCUCCCGCGCAUCACCACUUUCAAACCCAAUUCGGCGCCGGUGCUGUUGAACAGUCCUGAUCUGCCAGCUGGUACUGCCACCUCAUCAUUUGCCAUGUCAGCAAUUGCAUGAGUGAGAUUGAAUAUGAUUCCAACCUACGUCUUUGACUGGUCAAAAGCCUAGAGUUGAAUCAUUAAAUAUUGCAAAUACAGGUUAUGUAACAACAGACAUGUUAUUAGAAUAUAAGUGUAGUUUUAGGAUACAUAUGUAUAUAUAUUAUCUACAGUAUUUAGAUAUCAUACGUGUUUAGAUAUCUCACAAAUUUUGCUUUGAAAGUUGCUAAGAAUAACAAAGUUUUUAUACCAAAGAUAUGUAUCUGACUUAUUAAACUAUUGUUCCUCAAAAAUCUUACAAUGGGAUAUAAAAUGUUUCUUUAAAUUUAGUAAUUUAUUCAAGUAAAACAAUAAUGUGAAUUUCUAAUAAAGCAAA
rnacentral:lncRNA from 1 species